rnacentral:rRNA from 1 species
GAUGAACGCUGACAGAAUGCUUAACACAUGCAAGUCGAUGGGGAAGUGGUGCUUGCACCAUGGUAACCAUGGCGGACGGGUGAGUAACGCGUAAGGAACUUGCCUGCGGGACUGGGAUAACAGCAGGAAACUGCUGAUAAUCCCGGAUAAGGUCAUUAAGCUGCAUAGCUUAGUGAUGAAAGGAGACGCCUGCGGAGAGCCUUGCGUCCUAUUAGCUAGUUGGAGGGGUAACGGCCCACCAAGGCGAAGAUAGGUAGCCGGCCUGAGAGGGUGGACGGCCACGAGGGGACUGAGAUACGGCCCUUACUCCUACGGGAGGCAGCAGUGGGGAAUAUUGGACAAUGGGGGCAACCCUGAUCCAGCAAUUCUGUGUGCACGAAGACGGUUUUCGGAUUGUAAAGUGCUUUCAGCAGGGAAGAAGGAAGUGACGGUACCUGCAGAAGAAGCGACGGCUAAAUACGUG